GAUGAACGCUGGCGGCGUGCCUAAUACAUGCAAGUCGAGCGAACAGACGAGGAGCUUGCUCCUCUGACGUUAGCGGCGGACGGGUGAGUAACACGUGGAUAACCUACCUAUAAGACUGGGAUAACUUCGGGAAACCGGAGCUAAUACCAGAUAAUAUAUUGAACCGCAUGGUUCAAUAGUGAAAGACGGUUUUGCUGUCACUUAUAGAUGGAUCCGCGCCGCAUUAGCUAGUUGGUAAGGUAACGGCUUACCAAGGCAACGAUGCGUAGCCGACCUGAGAGGGUGAUCGGCCACACUGGAACUGAGACACGGUCCAGACUCCUACGGGAGGCAGCAGUAGGGAAUCUUCCGCAAUGGGCGAAAGUCUGACGGAGCAACGCCGCGUGAGUGAUGAAGGUCUUCGGAUCGUAAAACUCUGUUAUUAGGGAAGAACAAAUGUGUAAGUAACUAUGCACGUCUUGACGGUACCUAAUCAGAAAGCCACGGCUAACUACGUG
rnacentral:rRNA from 1 species